rnacentral:tRNA from 1 species
AGCCAAGAUGGUAUGGCAGCGGACUUAUACUCCGCGUAUCGCGGGUUCGAAUCCCGCC